GGGACGAACGCUGGCGGCGUGCUUAACACAUGCAAGUCGAGCGGAAAGGCCUUUCGGGGUACUCGAGCGGCGAACGGGUGAGUAACACGUGAGUAAUCUGCCCAUCGCUUCAGGAUAGCCAUCGGAAACGGUGAUUAAUACUGGAUAUGACAUUCCUUCGCAUGUUGGGGUGUGGAAAGUUUUUUCGGCGGUGGAUGUGCUCGCGGCCUAUCAGCUUGUUGGUGGGGUAAUGGCCUACCAAGGCUUUGGACGGGUAGCCGGCCUGAGAGGGUGACCGGCCACACUGGGACUGGAGACACGGCCCAGACUCCGUACGGGAGGCAGCAGGUGGGGAAUAUGGACAAGUGGGCGGAAGCCUGAUCCAGCAACGCCGCGUGAGGAUGACGGCCUUCGGGUUCGUAAACCUCUUCAGCACGAGACGUAAGUUUGUCGUUUUUGGUGAGUGACGGUAUGUGCGAGAAGAACGGACCGACCAACGUACG
rnacentral:rRNA from 1 species